rnacentral:rRNA from 1 species
UACGGGGGGGGUAAGCGUUGUUCGGAAUUACUGGGCGUAAAGCGUGCGCAGGCGGUCUGCUAAGAGAGAUGUGAAAUCCCCGGGCUUAACCUGGGAACUGCGUUUCUAACUGGCAGGCUUGAGUGUGGCAGAGGGGGGUGGAAUUCCACGUGUAGCAGUGAAAUGCGUAGAGAUGUGGAGGAACACCGAUGGCGAAGGCAGCCCCCUGGGCUAACACUGACGCUCAUGCACGAAAGCGUGGGGAGCAAACAGG